GCGAGGCGGGUGGCGCGCGGCAGCAGGGUUGGGCUCUCGCCGUGAGUCGACGAAGGGAGCGCGGGCGCGCGCCCGCGUCCGCGCACUGAGAGUCGCCUCGGCCGCUCGCUUUCUCGACUCCCGCCUCGCGCCUCGAUCCUGUUCCGCCUCCCUCGGCCCUCCUGCCCGCCCCCACUCGUCGGCCCUCAGGUUCCUGGAAAGUGAAAAUUUCAUUUCUUUGUGGACAGGUACCUAAAAUGUCUCAUUAUUCAUCAAUUAAUGAAAAACAAAUGAAAAUUUGAGAGAGAUAUUCUGAAGAAUAAAAGGAUCAAGUUGGGUCAUUUCUAAAAUCUCAGAGACCUAAUAGGAUGGGGUCUUAGAGAAACAUCUUUUGAGCCACAGACUUCUUUGUUACCAGAAGGAAAAUGAAAGAAGAAAUUUAAAUACCACUUGAAGAGAGUUUCCUCAUCAGCAAAGUCAGAAAAAGUAUGUACCUGAAGGACUGAUUGUAAGGCUGGGAUGAGAGAAUCCAUGUGAUCAGCCCUCACCAACAGGUGCUGCCCAGUUCAUGAGUGCUGCUGCUGUCCUGCCCAAGUACCCAGCUUGCAGAGUGCCAGAGUUAGAGUCCCAGGGGUGUUCUCCACAGCUGCAUGCUUGAUCCAGGCCUAUCAGGUGAGUUGGCUCUUGGCUAGUGGUUUUUCUUCUCUUGCUGUACAAAAGUCCAGACAGUAAUGUCUUUUUUUCAUUUUUAUAGAUAUAUUCCAUUGAAAGUCCUCAUUCUCAAAUUUAAAACAAAGACUUUUUGUGUACCUCAAUAGCAAUGCACACACAGUUGGCUUCACAAACAUAUUGUACAUUUCUUUUUUUCAUAUUUAUUCAACAAAUGUAUAUUGACUACCCACCGUGUGACAGGUGUUAUUUGUUGACGGAACCAGGCAUCAUCAGCAAACAAAACUGACAAAGCUUCCUGCCCUCUGUGGAAGGCAUCUGAGGAAGAGACUGGAUUUUGUAGCAACAUGUUAUUCUCAUUAUAAACUUUAUCAUUGGAAUACUAAAGCCAAAUCAUCCCCCAUCUCCUUGAUCAGGAUACCCACUUAAUCUAGGCAGCUACACAAUUGUGAGAGCCUUUGUUUUUUUCUGCUGAAACAUCCUUAAAAAGAUACCUCACAACCCAAGAUUUGGCUUUUCUUAAAUACGAUUUUUAAUUUUUUUCAUUUCUAUCUAGAGAUUUAAUUGGAAAUGGAAAAUCAUCAAUUUUCCAAUUAAAUGUCUGUUCCAAUCAACAUUAUACCUUUUAGGUUGUCAUUGUCAUUUUUAAGUUUAAGCAACUUUAAGGAUUUUGAAUCUGGCUGCCUGUAAAUUAAAGGUGAAAGUAAUCAUUGUGUUGGAUUGGAACAUUUUGUCAAUUGAGAGUGGUUUCCUUGUUCUUAGUGUAUGAAAAGUUUAUUUUUCUAAUGUAGAUUAAUAAAGGAGAUAAAGAAAAACAAAAUGAGUGAUUUAUGUGUGUGAGAAAAGAACCAUUUCCUCAAGGAUUAAAUAAAAUUCAUACCUUUUGUUUCUUUUGAAAAGUUUUUAAAAUAAAUUUUAAUGAAUGUGUCCUUUAAAUAUUCCUUUAAAAAUGUAUCCUAUUUUAAAAUGGACUCUCUGAGAGAAGGAAUUGAUACCUGUGUUUAAAAUCAAAAAUAGCAUGCAUAGAGACUGUUUUUCUAGUUGGUUGAAGCUUUUUUCCCUCUCCUUUACAUCAGUGAACCAGCAUCUUGCCCUUCAGACCCUACAGCACACUCUUGGGCUCAUGAAGUGUAUGACACAUCCUCCUUGGGGGAUCGGCCAUGUCCUCGCUCUCAUGACCACAUGAAUUCUUCUGUAUGUCUUUUCUCACAGCUGAGUACUCUCUUCCUGACCCCCUUGUGGAAUGGGGAAAGGAGGCUGUGACAUUGUGCUUGUGCAAACAAUAAUUGAGAGCUUUCCGAGUCUCCUGCAUCUUCAUAAAUGAUUUUUUGUUUUAUGCUGGGACAGUAGUUCUUUAAAUAGAAUAUUCUCCCAUGGAAAUCGCCCACAAUGCUGAGAGUACACCUUGCAAAAGGUAAGUCUAGAAUAUAGGGUGCCUCCUCAGCAUUGCCCAGAAGCUGAAGUUAGGACUCUCUAGAAUACCAAAAACAAAUUUAUAGCAGUUCAUUAAUGUAAGGAAUUAUGAAAACUGUGUGCCACCAUUAUCCAUAGAUGAAACAAGAGCCACCACGCAAGCACAGACACAAAGCCCUGAAGAUGAAGCCAUUGACAGGGCUCUCAUUUAUUCUGUAGAAACCCACUUGCCUGUUUUUGAACCAGUUUUCUUUGGAGCAUAUGUCUCACUGUGCAACCAAAGUGGUGUUUAUAUCCUAGUCACUUGGCAAAAAUUCUGUCAUUGCUUCAGGGAGAUCCAUUUUAGGCCUGAAGCAUGGAGCUGGUAAUAGAUGGGAUUUGGUACUUCUGAAGAAAAGACCCUACUGCAAAUUUAGAGAGUUAAUUUUUUCUUUUGUUCCCCAUAAUAUUGUUGCUAGAUAGAACUACCUUUUUUGACUAGAAGUUAAAUAUAGAGGCCUAAAUCAAUUAGGUAACUCCCACUCAUUCUAAAUGAGAACAUGUUUGUUUUUCUCCAACGAGAUGAGAAAUAUUUGAGGCGCUUCCUGAUAUCUCUAUCACCCACUGCAUUUUUUCACUUGAUGUAUAUUUCCCCAUGUAUUUGGGAUAAUUUUCAAAUAAUUGCCCUUUAGAAAUCUACUUGAUAUUAAAUGUAAAAAAAAAGCAAGAUGCAAAAUUAUUAUAGGAUGCAUUUACAGAAAUUACAAAAUUUCUAUAAACUAUUUAUGGAGGAAGACUUAUAGAGUAUAUGUCAACACAUUGCUUUAUUAUUGUCCUUGGUUAUGAGUAUGGUUUUUUUGAAACCUGCUUUGUACUUUGGGUGUUUUCUCACCAUUGGUACAAUUGAGGCAUUUUUCCCUCUUCUUCAACCUUGCAAAUCACACGUGAGGAUGCUCAUAGAAGUGCCUCUCAGACAGGCUGUUGUUUUGCUUUCACCAAUAAAUCAUUUAUAAUUAGAAGUAGAAAACUAUUCUUUCCAGUGCAAAUACAUCCCUUUCAAAAGCAGUUCUCUUUUUGUGAAUGAUGUCUAGUGUCUAAGAAACGAGGGUAACCUUUAUUAUAUGCAUUGCUCUAAUCGAAGCAUUGUUUUUUGCGGUGAACUCAAGGUUACAUGUUUAAGAAAAGCAUCGGGUUAAUUCCAUUAGGAAAAGUGUCUUAUUCAUAAACCUUUAGCCACUGGAAAAACACCAUUAGGAGGCCACACAAGUGUGUAUAGCUGGAUAGAAUUUGACAACUGGCAAAACAAAACAAUAGCCUACAAUUGCAGAGUGCUGUCUGUUUAAAAACCAACAUAUCUUUCACCAACAAAUACAUAUUCACCUCAACACGAGACUUUCAUGUGGUUAUUAAUAUCAAAUUUUUGAAUGUCCAAAUUUUGGAGUGUAGUCUAGCAGAGGUAAACUGAUUUGCCUAAGGUCCUUCAACUGUCAGAGGUAGAAUUAUUUUCUCUCUCCUGGCUCUAAAACCUGUCCAGAUUCUCCUGCAACACUGUCCUUCAAAAACACACUUCCGCUGACUCCAGUGCUGGUGAUGUCAUGCUUUAGCUAGUAGUUAGAGGUGACUUAACUUUAAAUAUGGAAUCUUUUUUUCCUAUUAAGCAAUGAGGUUUAGUUUGAAAAUUCUUAGAGAUGAUAAACCCCUCUCCUUUUUUUCUUCCUUCUCCUCUUUUGUCCUGAACAAUGUUCCAUAUAUAUUACUGCCAGAAACAGAUUCUUGACAUUCCUGUUAUGCUUUUCCACAUCUUGUAAUCAUUUCUACAGCUGUUAGCAUUGCCAACAAUUAUAUUUCCACUUUUAAAAAAUUGUUACAAAGAUGCAGAGAGAAAAGAGGAAAGCCAAGGAAUAAACUACAGGCAAUUAUGGGAUAUUUUUGUGAUGUGACAUUUUGGGAACUGAGGCAGCAUCACUGAUACUGCACUACUUUUUAAUAUCUAGAUUUUAAUCUUUUGUAUGAAGAUAAAAUUCACAUGCCUUAAACCUGACCACAACAUAAUAGGGCAUUUAUUUUUCUAAUUUUGAUACCAUCCACAUUUCUUAACUAUAAGAAGAAUGCUUAUGUUGUACCAGGUUAUAUGAUGUUGCCAAGAAGUAGAUGUGUACCAUUUACUAAUACAUCCUUUUGGAAAAUGCGUAUUAAUAACAUAUUAAGGAGUAAAUUGACGUUGUGCAAAGUGAGCCUGUGAGUUUAAAUGUAUGGAUUGUACACCUUGCUCUUCCUAAUUGCAGAUUUAACAGGAUUUGAUGACCUAAUGAGUUUAUUUCUGAAUGAUUUAUAUUUCUUUGUCAGUUCAAUGAUUUAGUAUUUUAAAUUUUUUUAAAUCACAUUUUAUUGAGAUAAUGCUAUUAGUGUUUCUUUCCCAUCACUUAACAAAGUUAAGUCACUCCUCUCCCACCCCACUUUUGUACCUACCAAUGUUUUUUUCACAGUUACAGGCUGAUUGGCUUGACGUGUCUUAGGAUACCACCCAAAGAGAGCUUCAUUUUAUAAAUACCAAGCUCAUUUUCCUAAAUAUUUUCAAAAAGAUAGAUUUAUCCUCAUAUAGUAAAUUCAGAUUAAUAAUUUUGGAAAGGGUCAUGUGACCAUGGUAUUACAUGGCUGUGGAAGACCCUCCAAGAUCUUGUUUUGGGAUAGAAGGACUCAGACAUCCAAACUUUUAAAUUAAUGAACUUAUUAAAUUCUAAAACUUUGUAACAGUGUUAAUUUGAGAAGUAUAAUAUUUUGCUUAAGGUCUGUUUUGCUUUGCAAAAUGCAUCUCCUUCAUUUUCAUAUUAUGUUGGAAGCUUAGCAUGAAAGAACGUGCCUCAGAGGAAACCAUAGGUAAGCAUACUUUAACAAAAGUUAGUGUCAUCAUGUUUGUGUCUUUGCCUGUGGUUUUUUAAAUGUAUAAUGUUUAACGUUGAUUUGGCUAUCAAAUUACAUUUUCUUUUGUUAAAAAAUUCUGUAAAUUAGAAAUGUACUGAAUCAUUUAUUUAGCAGACUGAAGGUGGGUAAUGUUGGCUGAACAGGUUUAAGCCACAGUAAUUUGAAAAUGUAAAUACAUAAAAUAAUGUCAUUUCUCUUCCACUCAAUGUUUCUUCACCAAAUAAAGUCCAGCCUGCUCUGAAUUUGUUGCCAGUAGGAACAAUGUUACAGUGAAUCAUGGUUUAAUAUACCUUGAAAAUGGCACAUCUGUUCUGUGAUAGCUUACCAAUUUUAGCCUCUUUAUAAAAUACGAAGAGUUUGUCAACCAGAAUAAUCUAGAACCUGGCAAUUCAAAUACCAUUCAAAGCAAAUGUUUUAUCUAAUAACUGGAACUAAAUGUUAGGCCUCAUGACAGUUCAAUAUUUACUAAAUAAGUUUAAUAACAGGGUAAGCCCUCAGUAUCCAGAGCAGAGACAAGCACACCAUAUUUACACAUACAAAUUCUGCCUUUAGCCAUCUGAAAGGGCCCCGAACUAUUGCAGCAAGCAAAGAGUCUUUGCAUUGUCCUAAAAUCCAUACAAUACUUUAUAUUUUACACAUUUUAAUAGCUAGUUUAACAAAUAACAAGUACCAUGCUUAAUUCUCUGCAUGCAUUAUUUCAACUAAUUAUUGGAAUAAUCUUAUAAAGUGGGUACUUUCGUCUCAGCUUACAGGUGAGAAAACAAAAGUUAAAUAGAUCGCCCAGGGCUCUGCUGGAACGUGUUAAGCAGGGAUUUCAGCCUGUCCAGUCAGACCCCAGAAGUUGUGUUCUUAACCAUUAGCAACACAUCAUCCCAGGCAGGCCCUACAUGAGCCUCAUAACCAAUUUUAUGCUGGAUAGUAUUAUCCCUAUUUCACAGAUGGCAAAACUGAGGUCCAGAGACUUUAAGUGACCUACCCAAAAUUACAGUCAUGAGCAGAGGCACUGGAAUGUAGGGCCUUGACACUCUACCUCACGUGGUCCUCUUUCCUGUUUUGGGUAGUUCUCCACUACCACUACUCAUUUCUGAUGCUGGAAAGGCUGUGUUUUAUACAUUUCUGUUUCUGGCUUGGAACGAAACACUCUGGGUCUCUGCUUGAUCAGUGUCCCCUCUAAACUGCACCUCACUACAGUAGGGAUGGCAUAAGAUACUUCUUUACACAGCAUCUUUUUGUUCCCACCUCACCCCCAGAGCUGUAAUAGGUAGAGCCAGCCAAAUGUCAAAGGGAUGAUUUGUCUUGUCACCACUAGUUUCCCUUUUCUCUGCCUUGUAUGUAACAGGAAUAUUCUUUAGUUCCUCCUUAUGUUCUAAAGCACCUCCCCAACCUAAAAAUAGAAGAGGAGUUGUGGGUCAUUUACACUUUAGUGUGAAUUUGCCCUUGUGACUUUGCCAAGGCUGUUGUGCCUAACCCUUUCAAUCUAACAGCAGAAUGAGAGUCUCUGGACUAUCCUGGCUCCUUCCCUGAGAAGAAUGAACUGGGAAUUGUUGGUCUAGACAUCAAGACUACCAGAGACCUAUUGCUCAGAGAUGUUUGGGCUGUACAAUUUCUGUAGAUAUGGCAUCUGGAGCAGCCUUUUCUAAGCAAUGGCAUUAUCAUUCCAGGCUCUCUCGCUCUUUCCAUCUCUCCACCAGGUGGACUCUUGCCCUCCACCCCUUCCAAUUUGUCAGUGAUUCAGAGAACAUUCUCCAUCCUUCCAAUGAUUACAUUCCUUCAUCUUGCUGGGGCGCCAAUUCAGUGAUGGAGCGGCUCUUGGGAGCAGCCUUGGCUUAUAGUGCAGCUCUCUGCUACCUUCAACAGGCUGGUAUUCGGGGUGCUUAGAUGUGACUGGUUGUACGCACGUGUGUGUAUGUGCAUGUGUGUACAGCAGUAAGAGCUUUCGAGGUAGAUACUUGAGGAAGCCUCAGACAUCUAGCCCCAUUACUGGGGCAAUGUCUUACUUGGGUUUUUCCAGAAACAGACCUGGAGACCAGGAUUCAAGUGCCAGUGGUAUAUUUGGGAUGUGAACCCUGCAAUGCUGGUAGGAGAGUGGAGAAGUGAGGCAAGGAAAGGAAGGCCGUCAAGGGGCGUGUUAGGAGGUCAUUCACCACCGCAGGUAGCCCGCUGGGGACCUCUGGGAGCAAGUGUGGCGCACAAGCCUCAGCAUUACUGCCCUGUGCCUUGAGGAGUAAGGGAUAAGGAUUUUCCCCACCAGUUCCCUGUAGUCCUUGGUGAGAGCUUCUGGGGUGGAGGUUAAGGUCUUUAGGUCAGAGAAAUUUUCUUUAGUUUCGGAAAAAUCUUUCAGGCCGAGGUCCAGACACUCACUGGAACACACUGAAGUGGUUAGGUCCAAGGGCUGUAGGCAGAGCUCCCAUAUCCAUCUGCAGAGGUGUUUCAGGUGGAAGGAGUGGAGACAGCCUUCUCUGCUCCACACUGUCUUCAGCAAGGGUUUCUGUAUCUGUGCAUUGAGGAUUAAAUUAUUCACAUGGUCAGAGAAGCCCAUCACCACUGAUAGUUAUUGUAGGUAUGGAAAACUAACGACUAAGAAGGGAGAAAAAUAUACCAAGCAGUUGGCUUGGCUGAACACAAGUAAAGACUCUUACAGUCACUGGUGUGAACUGCUUAUUAUCAAUGUCUGAUUACAGUGCUGCAUACUAAUGAUUAUGCAUGUCAUUAAAUGUGUCAGAUUAACUUUGUUAUAAAAUUUAUGACAACAUUAAAUUUUAUUCACAUGCUCAGCCUUCAUAAUUUAUUGCUUAUGUAGCAUGGUUUUAACUUCAGAAAAACCUCCAAGACAGUGUUGUCUUGAUGACUACACUGCUUAUCCGUGAGUCUAGUUUUCCUGUUCAUUUGAAAUGUUCACAUUACAUUCAGCUCUGUCUCAAGCACUGAGACAGAGCUGGAAUCAGUGCCCAGCGAUUCCACUUGCCGAGUGAUUGA
rnacentral:lncRNA from 1 species